rnacentral:lncRNA from 1 species
AGGCUACCAAAGCAAGAUGCCGAUGUGAUUUAUCUUCUAUAUGUGCUAUCAUCUCAGUACAUCCUGGCUUUUGCUUCUGAGGAUUGUUACCAGAAUAUCUUCUUCCUCGUCCAAUAAGUCAUUAGUGACUUGUAAUGCAGCCUUCUUUAUAGCCUCCACAGGCUUAGCUGGAGUUUAGAUCACUGUAUGAAGAUGAUAAUUGGCUGCUUUCUCCUGUUGUCACUUACAGACUCUGUAGAUGUCCUUGUCUUUCCUCCUUCCUGAGUUGCAUGAUUCUGCAGAGUUAUCAUCAAAUCAAGGGAGAAUUUCUACCAUAAAGCCACUGCAAGAAAAGAACUCUGUAAAAGGAUUAUCUCUAUACCUCGUGGAAAUACGUUGGUUUGUAGGCUAUGGAAGGCCAACUAAAAUUGAUUUUCAAAUAGUGGUAGGAUGGCAAAUACUAAAAAUGUGGAACUUAGACUGGAGCCUUUUUAAUUCUGAUUUGUGUUCAGUGCUCAGGUGCUGAUGAAUGUAAAAUUCAAGUGCUAGGUGUGAACGUUUCUUUGAUUACUGACAAGAUGGAUGGCAAUCGUUUGUUUGACUUCACACCAUCUCUGAUCCUUGUCUCUCUCCUACUGUCAAAAUUCUCAAUUAGUUUCAUUCUGACCCUCAGUGCAGGAAGGGUCUCCUGCUACGGGACUUCCUCCUACAGCUGCAUUUACAGCAGGUGGACUCUGAGUGUUCAGUUCAUGACCUGCUGCUUGUUCUGCUUUCCUGAGGUGUUUCUGUAUCUGAACAAGCUAGACUGACAUCUGUGACUAUGUCCUCUUUCUGCAGUAACGGUCACACUUACGAGAUGUCUUCCUCUGUUCACACCCUGCCAGCUAUGUCAAAGCCUUUCUUGAGAUCCAAAGGCCUGUCCUCCAGUUGCUUAGAGGAUGACCACAAGCAUUUUUGGCUGCUGUGAAUUCACCUCUCUACUUUGAGUCUGUUUUAAACCUUGGGCUUCUGUGGUGAAUAAUGGGAUUAAAUAUUGCAGUACUCUUUUGUUUGCUUUCCUGAAAUAGCACUCCCUUCUGUGUAGCAUUUUAUUUUUCUCAGUGUAGGUAGAUUAUGGUUUUAGCCAAGUAUUCUUUUAAAAUAAUCCUUUGAACCAGAAGUAUCAUGUUGCUGAUUUUUAAUAAGGUUAUUUCUAUUCUUAUUUAAUUACUUUUACAUUAAACGUUGUCAUCUUUAUAGAUGUCCAAACUGAAGGUGUGUGUAUAUUGCCCAUUUCUAGUCUCCAUGGGAAGGUUUCUGAGCAGAGAUUACAUUGCACUUGCUGUUUGAACUGCUUGCUACUCAUCUCUUGCUUAUAGAAUCUUAAUAAAGUAAGUUAAGUGUUGUAGCUGGAAGACA